rnacentral:rRNA from 1 species
UACGUAGGUGGCAAGCGUUGUCCGGAUUUACUGGGCGUAAAGAGCGCGCAGGCGGUUAUUCAAGUCGAAUGUGAAAGCCCCCGGCUUAACUGGGGAGGGUCAUUCGAUACUGUUUAACUUGAAGGCAGGAGAGGGUAGUGGAAUUCCCGGUGUAGUGGUGAAAUGCGUAGAGAUCGGGAGGAACACCCAUGGCGAAGGCAGCUCUCUGGUCGGCAUCUGACGCUGAGACGCGAAAGCUAGGGGAGCAAACAGG